rnacentral:piRNA from 1 species
UCUCUUGUCUCGGUGUGCCUUUCGGCAAA